rnacentral:rRNA from 1 species
UGGCGAACGGGUGAGUAACGCGUUGGUGACCUACCCCGAAGUGUGGGAUAACAGUCCGAAAGGAUUGCUAAUACCGCAUGUGGUCACCGGGUUUAGAAACCGGUGACUAAAGUAGUAAUGCGCUUUGGGAGGGACCUGCGUCCCAUCAGCUAGUUGGUGAGGUAACGGCUCACCAAGGCGUCGACGGGUAAGGGACCUGAGAGGGUGGUCCCUCACAAUGGCACUGAAACACGGGCCAUACACCUACGGGUGGCAGCAGUAGGGAAUAUUGGGCAAUGGGCGAAAGCCUGACCCAGCAACGCCGCGUGUACGAUGAAGGCCUUCGGGUCGUAAAGUACUUUUCUGGGAGAUGAGAAAGGACAGUAUCCCAGGAAUAAGCUUCGGCUAACUACGUGCCAGCAGCCGCGGUAAAACGUAGGAAGCGAGCGUUAUCCGGAUUUACUGGGCGUAAAGCGCGUGUAGGCGGUUUGAUAAGUUGGAUGUGAAAUCUCCUGGCUCAACUGGGAGGGGUCGUUCAAAACUAUCAGACUAGAGGACAGUAGAGGAAGGUGGAAUUCCCGGUGUAGUGGUGAAAUGCGUAGAUAUCGGGAGGAACACCAGUGGCGAAAGCGGCCUUCUGGACUGUAUCUGACGCUCAGACGCGAAAGCUAGGGGAGCGAACGGGAUUAGAGACCCCGGUAGUCCUAGCUGUAAACGAUGUAGACU